UCCCGGUUGGCCCGGGCAGUCUCGUAUGAAAAAUACAACAUACGACGAGGGUUGCGCUCGUUGCGGGACUUAACCCAACAUCUCACGACACGAGCUGACGACGGCCAUGCAACACCUGUCACUGAGCUCCCGAAGGCACCCCGCUGUUUCCAGCAGGUUCUCAGGAUGUCAAGCCUUGGUGAGGUUCUACGCGUAGCGUCAUAUUAAACCACAUCAUCCUCCGCUUGUGCGGGUCCCCGUCAAUUCCUUUGAGUUUUAACCUUGCGGUCGUACUUCCCAGGCGGCAUACUUAACGCGUUAGCUUCGCCGCACAGGGGGUCGAUACCCCAUACGGCUAGUAUGCAUCGUUUACGGCGUGGACUAC
rnacentral:misc_RNA from 1 species